GGUUGUGUCUGAAGAGUGAGAAGCAGUGGACGAGCCACCUGGCUCACUUGGGCCUGAUCAACCCAUCCUUCAGAAGGGGUAGUGGGCAGCACAUGUAGGAUAAGUAGUACCUCACCUGAAGAUCAGCCAGGAGCUGCAGAAAUGGCUGUUUGUGGGUGUUCAUCAGCCCUUCGAAGACAACAGUUGUCCUUUCCAGAAUAACCCAAAGGACAUUCAGCCAACUUGACACAACUGUGGAAAGCAUUGGAAUCAACAUGGACCAGCAUCCCUGUCAAACACUUUUGACACCUUGUAGAUUCCAUGCCCCGAUGAAUUGAGGCUGUUCGAAGGGCAAAAUGGGGUGCAACUCAAUAUUAGGAAGGUGUUCAUAAUGUUCUUGUACAUUCAGUGUAGAGUUAAAAGAAAACGGUAUAUAUUUUUACAAAUACAUUGUUUUCAAUGUUGAGUUUGUAGACUGCACAACACUAACAACUAACCCCUAAAUUGAUUUAUUCAUGAUACAGAGCCUUCAGAAAGUAUUCAUACCCCUCAGCCUUUCCACAGAGCUUCUUUUGUUGGCACUCCAAUAUGUCCCAUAAACAUCACAAUUGGUCCUUUUGUUCGAUUAAUUCCAUCCAUAUAUAUCCAAAAUGUCAAUUUAUUUGGUGUGUUUGAUCCAGAAAAAAACAGCUUCCAAAAUGCGCAAUGUCACCACAAAAUAUUUCGAAAGUUGCCUAUAAACUUUGCCAAAAUAUUUCAAACUACUUUUGUAAUACAACUUUAGGUAUUUUUAAACGUUAAUAAUCGAUCAAAUUGAUGACGGGUCUAUCUGUGUUCAAUACAGGAAGACAACAAACCAAGCUACUUUUCAAGACUUGCGCAACUCUCAACAGUGUUACACAGUUCCUAGUUGGCCCUACUUCUUCAUUGCACAAAUGAAUAACCUCAACCAAAUUCCAAAGACUGGUGACAUCCAGUGGAAGCGGUAGGAACUGAAAACAAGUUCCGAAGAAAUAUCGUUUACCAAUGAGAUCUCAGUGAACAGACAGACCUCAAAAAGAAAAUCUAAACAGUUAGUCCUCAGGGUUUUGCCUGCUACAUAAGUUAUGUUAUACUCACAGAUAUGAUUCAAACAGUUUUAGAAACUUCAGAGUGUUUCCUAUCCAAAUAUACUAAUAUUAUGCAUAUCUUAUAUUCUUGGCAUGAGUAGCAGGAAGUUGAAAUUGGGCACGAUAUUUAUUCAAAAGUGAAAAUGCUGCCCCCUAUACAUUAAAAAAUAAAAUAAAAUACAAAUCUAAUUAAUAACAUAUUAAAAGCUGAAAUGUCCUGAGUCAAUAAGCAUUAAACAUCUUUGUUGUGACAAGCCUAAAUAAGUUCAGGAGUAGAAAUUUGCUUAACAAGUCACAUAAUAAGUUGCAUGGACUCACUUUGUGUGCAAUAAGAGUGGUUAACAUGAUUUUUUAUUGACUACCUCAUCGCUGAUCUGUAAGGUCCCUGAGUUGAGCAGUGAAUUUCAAACUCAGAUUCAACCACAAAAACUAGGGAGGUUUUCCAAUGCCUUGUAAAGAAGGGCACCUAUUGGUAGAUGAAAAAUUAAAGCAGACAUUGAAUAUCCCUUUGAGCAUGGUGAAGUUAUUGAUGACACUUUGGAUGGUGUAUCAAUAAUCCGAGUCACUACAAAGGUACAGGCGUCCUUCCUAAUCCAGUUGACGGAGAGGAAGGAAACCGCUCAGGGAUUUUACCAUGAGGCCAAUGGUGACUUUAAAACAGUUACUGAGUUUAAUUGCUGUGAUAGGAGAAAACUGAGGAUGGAUCACCAAGAACCAGGUACUAAAGUAAUACUGCAAAAAAAUGGAAAAGCAACUCACCUUGUCCUGAAUACAAAGUGUUAUGUUUGGGGCUAAUCCAAUACAACAGAUUACUGAGUACACCUCUCCAUAUUUUCAAGCAUAGUUGUAGCUGCAUCAUGUUAUGUGAUGCUUGUAAUCAUUAAGGACUGGGGAGUUUUUCAGGGUAAAAAAGAAACGGAAUGGAGAUAAGCACAGGCACAAUCCUAGAGGAAAACCUGAUUCAGUCUGCUUUCUACCAGACACUGGGAGAUCAAUUCACAUUUCAGCAGGACAAUAACCUAAAACACAAGAAGUCAGUGAAUGUUCCUGAGUGGCUGUGUAACAGUUGUCACUUAAAUCUGCUUGAAAAUCUAUGGCAAGACUUGAAAAUAGUUGUCUAGCAAUGAUCAACAACCAAUUUGACAGAGCUUGAAGAAUUAAAAAAAUAAUAAUGGGCUAAUAUUGUACAAUCCUGGUGUGCAAAGCUCUUAGAGAGCCAUAAGGCUGUAACACAACACAAUGUAGAAUAAGUCAUGGUGUAUGAAUACUGUUGAAGGCACUGUAUGUGUCAGGCUUUCCAGGGAAUACCAAUAAGGCUGUAUGGAUGGAAAGUUAAACAUUUGUCUGGCAGCUGCCUCUGCUAAGCCUGUGAGCGCCAUAAAAAAAAACACAACCCACAUCAACACCACCUGUUUUCCAUUGAAAUAAAACCACUUGAUUCUC